rnacentral:rRNA from 1 species
UACGUAGGGUCCGAGCGUUGUCCGGAAUUAUUGGGCGUAAAGGGCUCGUAGGCGGUUUGUCGCGUCGGGUGUGAAAACACGGGGCUUAACCCCGUGCCUGCUUUCGAUACGGGCAGACUAGAGGUAUGCAGGGGAGAACGGAAUUCCUGGUGUAGCGGUGAAAUGCGCAGAUAUCAGGAGGAACACCGGUGGCGAAGGCGAUUCUCUGGGCAGUACCUGACGCUGAGGAGCGAAAGUGUGGGGAGCGAACAGG